rnacentral:rRNA from 1 species
CCUACGGGAGGCAGCAGUGAGGAAUAUUGGUCAAUGGCCGGGAGGCUGAACCAGCCAAGCCGCGUGAAGGACGACUGUACCAAGCAUUGUAAACUUCUUUUGUCAAGGGAUAAAAUCAGGCUCGAGAGCCUGUCCGAGGGUACUUUAAGAAAAAGCAUCGGCUAACUCCGUGCCAGCAGCCGCGGUAAUACGGAGGAUGCGAGCGUUAUCCGGAUUUAUUGGGUUUAAAGGGUGCGUAGGGGGAUUGUUAAGUCAGCGGUAAAAGUCCGGGGCUCAACCCCAGAAAGCAAUUGAAAAUGGCAGUCUUGAGAAGUCGUGAGGUAUGCGGAAUGCGCGGUGUAGCGGUGAAAUGCUUAGAUAUCGCGAAGAACUCCGAUUGCGAAGGCAGCAUACUGACGGCGCUCUGACGUUGAGGCACGAAAGUGUGGGUAUCGAACAGGAUUAGAUACCCGAGUAGUC